GGCAGCCCGGCGGCCUCCGGCGUAGCCCUUCGCCCACUCGGUGGUGCGCUUGGAAACUGCGAGAGGCCCUGCUUCAGGCAUCCGCCCUCAGAGGCGCUGGUGACCGUGGCGUCCCCCGGCCUGGCCUGGCCUCGGAGGAAGUAGAGGAAGCUGCUUCUGGGAAGAGGGAUUGCACUUCCGGAAGAGGGGGCGGGGCCCAGCCAGCUCAGCUGAGAAAGGCAGGUGGGAGCAACUGAGCCCUGGAAACAGCUCACAUGGCCUUCUGGGGAGCGUCCUCCUUCUUCUCUGAGGUCCUGUCCCUGCAUCAUGAACAGCAGGCUUGUGAGGCCCUGAACUCUGGGGGAUGUUGGAGAUGACGAAGAAGAGGAGAAGGACCAAGAGGUUUUGCAGGGGGGAAAUCAGAGCUUCAUUCCAACGCGGAGAAGAGAGGGAAGGAGACUAAUAUCCAGGCUGAGCCUCUGGGCUGCCCGACCAAACACAGGAUUCUCCCCAGGAAGCUCUUAAGUCUGGAGGAAUACCUGCAAACUCCUUGGCGCUUCAGUAGAAAUGUUAAGGUGCCGUGGAGAGGGACUAUGAUGGAGACUAACUUCCUGGUGCCCAAGAGGCAGAAGCUUCAAAGCUCAUGCUUGGAAACUGCCUCACCUCGCUGUUCCCUGAGUCUCAGCGUAAUCUCCGUUCCAUCUUCUAAAGUCUGCUGAACACUUCUCAGCUUCAUUCAGCUCCUGCUGAGAUGUCCUGCCAGCAAAACCAGCAGCAGUGCCAGCCCCCUCCCAAGUGUGCCCCCAAAGGCCC
rnacentral:lncRNA from 1 species